rnacentral:rRNA from 1 species
UACGGAGGGGGCUAGCGUUGUUCGGAAUUACUGGGCGUAAAGCGCACGUAGGCGGCUUUGUAAGUUAGAGGUGAAAGCCCAGGGCUUAACCCUGGAAUUGCCUUUAAGACUGCAUCGCUAGAAUUGUGGAGAGGUAAGUGGAAUUCCGAGUGUAGAGGUGAAAUUCGUAGAUAUUGGGGAAGAACACCGGUGGCGAAGGCGGCGAGCUGGGGCCAUGACUGACGCUGAGGCGCGACAGCGUGGGGGAGCAAACAGG